rnacentral:rRNA from 1 species
GUAGCCAAGCUACUAAGGGCUGGCGGUGGAUGCCUCGGGUGCGGGAGGCGAUGAAGGGCGUGGCAAGCUGCGAUAAGCCCCGGGGAGCCGCAAGCAGGCGUUGAUCCGGGGAUGCCCGAAUGGGGAAACCCGGCUGGGGUAAUACCCAGUCAUUCAUGGGUUAAAAGCCCAUGGAGGCGAUACCGGGGGAAGUGAAACAUCUCAGUACCCCGAGGAAAAGAAAUCAACCGAGAUUCCCUGAGUAGCGGCGAGCGAAAGGGGAGGAGCCUAAACCAGACAGGUGUAAAAGCCCGUGGGCGUUGCCUGUCUGGGGUCGUGGGACUACACCGGAGGAGGCCACGGACUCCUCGGGGAGUUACAAAACCGUCUCCUUAGCCGAAGGCGCCUGGAAUGGCCCGCCAGAGAGGGUGAAAGCCCCGUAGGCGAAAAGGAGACGGUCUCCCUGGGUGUAGAUCCCGAGUAGCACGGGACACGUGGAAUCCCGUGUGAAUCAGGGGGGACCACCCUCCAAGGCUAAAUACUACCCGCACACCGAUAGCGCACAAGUACCGUGAGGGAAAGGUGAAAAGAACCCCGGGAGGGGAGUGAAAUAGAACCUGAAACCGCCAGCCUACAAGCGGUCGGAGGGGAGGCUUUGCCUCCCUGACGGCGUGCCUUUUGCAUAAUGAGCCCGGGAGUUACCGUCGGUGGCGAGGUUAAGCCGUUGAGGCGAAGCCGUAGCGAAAGCGAGUCCGAAAAGGGCGUUUAGUCGCCGGCGGUAGACCCGAAGCGGGACGAUCUACCCAUGGCCAGGGUGAAGGUGGGUUAAACCCCACUGGAGGCCCGAACCGGUGGAGGGUGAAAACUCCUCGGAUGAGCUGUGGGUAGGAGUGAAAAGCUAAUCGAGUCCCGUGAUAGCUGGUUCUCCCCGAAAUGCAUUGAGGUGCAGCCUCGGGUGGUCGCUGCCGGGGGUAGAGCACUGUUUGGGCUAGGGGGCUUACCGGCCUACCAAACCCAGGCAAACUCCGAAUACCGGCAAGCGUAGCCCGGGAGUGCGUCCUAGGACGAUAAAGUCCUAAGACGAGAGGGCAAGAGCCCAGACCGCCAGCUAAGGUCCCCAAGUCCUGGCUAAGUGGUAAAGGAGGUGCCCCUGCUUAGACACCCAGGAUGUUGGCUUAGAAGCAGCCAUCAUUUAAAGAGUGCGUAACAGCUCACUGGGCGAGCGGGGGUGCGCCGAAAAUUACACGGGGCUUAAGCCAGGCACCGAAGCUGCGGGCUGAAAGACUUUUAGGUCUUUCAGCGGUAGGGGAGCACUCCGGUUGCCGAUGAAGGUAGUCCGUAAGGGCUACUGGAGGCCCCGGAGGAGAGAAUCCGGGCACGAGUAGCGAUAAGGAGGGUGAGAAUCCCUCCCGCCGUAAGCCCAAGGUUUCCUGGGGAAGGGUCGUCCGCCCAGGGUUAGCCGGUCCCUAACCCGAGGCCGAAAGGCGUAGGGGAUGGGAAGUGGGGUUAAUAUUCCCCCGCCACCAGGAUGGAGGCCAAGGGGUGACGCAGGAGGGAAGGGCUCCGGGGCUAUAUGGUUGGCCCUCCAAACCUCUAGCCCGAUGAUGGACCGAGGUAAAUCCCGGUCCGGAGGGUGAGGGGGAGUAAGUAACCGAGAGCUACGGCUCUCGGGAAGGAGCCCGGACUACACUGCCAAGAAAUAGCCUCGUGGCUGUUGAAGUCCUGGUGACCGUACCGCAAACCGACACAGGUGGGCGGGCAGAGUAUGCUCAGGCGCGUGGGGCAACCCUGGCUAAGGAACUCGGCAAAUUAACCCCGUAACUUCGGGAGAAGGGGUGCCCGUGUGUAGGUGUAGGUCCCUUGUCGGACCUGCGCUGAAGCGGGUCGCAGGGAAGCGGCGGUGGCGACUGUUUACCAAAAACACAGGGCUCUGCUAACUCGUAAGAGGACGUAUAGGGCCUGACGCCUGCCCGGUGCUGGAAGGUGAAGGGGUGGGGUUAGCGGAAGGAUUAUUCUUUCCGCGAAGCUCCGCCCUCAAGCCCCAGUAAACGGCGGCCGUAACUAUAACGGUCCUAAGGUAGCGAAAUUCCUUGUCGGGUAAGUUCCGACCUGCAUGAAUGGCGUAACGACUGCCGCGCUGUCUCAGCCAGGGGCCCAGCGAAACUGUAGUCUCGGCGAAGAUGCCGAGUACCCGCGGUGGGACGGAAAGACCCCGUGGAGCUUUACUGCAGCUUGGCAUUGAUCUUCGGGGUAGGAUGUGCAGGAUAGGUGGGAGGCUAUGAAGCGGGGGCGCCAGCUCCCGUGGAGCCACCGGUGAGAUACCACCCUUCCUGCUCCGGGGAUCUAACCUGCGGGAGUUAUCCUCCCGAGGGACAGUGCCUG